CUGGUCGUGGAUUCUACCACGUUCUCCUACAGGGAAGCUAAGAGGUGAACCACAGAGGGAUGUUGGCACAAUUUCUACGCCUGAUGUCCUUUCUGAUGCAACCUUUCCAUUCAUUAAGACAGGCAUCAUCACCGAGGCGUGCAGUCGGAUUUGAACACCUGCCAUCUGGAGGCUGAGACAGGUGGAGCAGGCGUGUUCUUUUACCUGUAUGCCUAUUGAAGAACGUGGGGUUUUGAGGUACUCCUCAGCCUUAGACACCAGCACUGCUUUGUCGCAUGUCUGGACGGAUGUGUGGCUGCCC